AGCGAGCAAGAGGAAGAAAAAUAGCUGCCCUCUUUUGCACUAAACAAAUGCCGAGUUGGUUCCUCCAAAAUAAGAGCUGUUCUGAAAGCGACGCAGCGAUUAUUUUCUUCCAUUUAUUCUUGAAUAUUCUGUUAUUAGCGCACCCGUUGCCCCCCCCCAAUUUCCCCCUUCAGCUCCCCCCAAUUCACGUUGUCCUUGAAGCGCCGCCAUCUUCCCUCCUCCCUCCUCUCCUGCUCCUCUCCCCUCCAGCUCCCUGCCACCUCAGCCACCAGCGUUUGGCUUUUUUCCCACUCUUGUAGCACAUUACUGUAGCGCUAUCGCGCGACAAUUCCCGGCUUCUGUUGGGCUCGCUUAGAAAAAUGGAAAAAACAUUUUUUUUAAAAAAGGGCAGCGUCAGGGGGGGAAACGACGCAUCUCCCGCGAAGAGACAAGAAUCCAAAGUGCAACUCACUUCACUAUUUCUUGGCCGGGGGAAGAAAACCAAAGAGGAGAAGACGGACGAGGAGGAGCAAGAAGCAGCAGCAGCAGCAGCAGAGUUCUGCUGAGGAAGCGCGCGGGAAGAGGCGGCACGGCGCGGACCUGCUGGCGUUUGGACCUCGGGAGUGCGGGUCAAGCUCUCCGUAGAGGGCCGUGCCCUCGCUCUAACUUCAACUGGCAACUCGUCAGCAACGAAACCAAUCGUCCUGCAUUUUUUUUGUGUGUCGCCCAUCAAAACGACACUACACGUGGUAUUGCAAACUGAAGACACAUUUCAAGCACAGUGCAGUGAGUGUGAUUAUUAGCAAGAUGGAUUUCUUUUGGAUCAGUCGAUACGUAGUCAUUGCAUUUUUAAUCGCAUUGAUAUUUUUUCACUUUUAAAUUAUUGCCACAUUUUUGUGGGGGAGCAGCGGGAGUCUACCAAAUCCUGAGGUGCAGUCUUAUCUUUUGCUAUUUAGAAAGCUAUUAGAAACAGCUCUCGGUGUGAAGCAAUAACACACUACUGCUAAUUACAACACAUUACAUUUUUCAAGCAUUACAGUAAAUCAUCCAACUUUUAUUUUCUGAUCAUUUCAAAUCAGUGUUAAGGAUAUCAAAUUCAAUACAAUUCAACGGUAUGAAUAGAAUGGCAUAAUUAGUCAAAUAUCAUUCACCCCUCCGCCGAGGUCCAACAUGCCAAUUUUACAGACUACAUGUUACAUGUUAGAAUAUUUUAGUUUUAGGCCAGUUUUAUUCCUUCAAAAAAAAACCUCAAUAUUUUUGGUGAGCCACUGUAAGAGUUUGUAUUUUGUACAUUAGCAUUGAAAAAAAAUGCUGUACUGCACACAAGUGAAAUAAAAGUUGGAUGUAAACGUGUAAAAGCAAAUCUAAAUACAGUUGCACUUUUUGAUGA